AGCGCAGACGGUUGAUUAAGUCUGAUGUGAAAGCCCGGAGCUCAACUCCGGAAUGGCAUUGGAAACUGGUUAACUUGAGUGUUGUAGAGGUAAGUGGAACUCCAUGUGUAGCGGUGGAAUGCGUAGAUAUAUGGAAGAACACCAGUGGCGAAGGCGGCUUACUGGACAACAACUGACGUUGAGGCUCGAAAGUGUGGGUAGCAAAACA
rnacentral:rRNA from 1 species